AACGAACGCUGGCGGCAUGCCUAACACAUGCAAGUCGAACGAGACCUUCGGGUCUAGUUGCGCACGGGUGCGUAACGCGUGGGAACCUGCCCUUAGGUUCGGAAUAACUCCCCGAAAGGGGUGCUAAUACCGGUUAAUGUCUUCGGACCAAAGAUUUAUCGCCUUUGGAUGGGCCCGCGUUGGAUUAGCUAGUUGGUAGGGUAAAAGCCUACCAAGGCGACGAUCCAUAGCUGGUCUGAGAGGAUGAUCAGCCACACUGGGACUGAGACACGGCCCAGACUCCUACGGGAAGCAGCAGUGGGGAAUAUUGGACAAUGGGCGAAAGCCUGAUCCAGCAAUGCCGCGUGAGUGAUGAAGGCCUUAGGGUUGUAAAGCUCUUUUACCCGGGAUGAUAAUGACAGUACCGGGAGAAUAAGCACCGGCUAACUCCGUG
rnacentral:rRNA from 1 species